rnacentral:rRNA from 1 species
UACGUAGGGCGCAAGCGUUGUCCGGAAUCAUUGGGCGUAAAGAGCUCGUAGGUGGUCUGUUACGUCUGCUGUGAAAUCCUAGGGCUUAACCCUGGGCCUGCAGUGGAUACGGGCAGACUAGAGGUAGGUAGGGGAGAAUGGAAUUCCCGGUGUAGCGGUGAAAUGCGCAGAUAUCGGGAGGAACACCGGUGGCGAGGGCGGUUCUCUGGGCCUUACCUGACACUGAGGAGCGAAAGCGUGGGGAGCGAACAGG